ensembl:lncRNA
CUUCCCACCCCCUCCUCCUGCCUCCUCCCCAUCCCCUCCUCCUGCCUCCUCCCCAUCCCCUCCUCCCACGUCUCCUGGAGAAGUCUUCCAGUUCUCUCCUGCCCUCCCUACCUACCUCCAGGAAGACUUCUCCCCUCCUCCACCCACUCCUCCAGAGAGGCUAGGCCCUGAGCCUGCUGAGCCCCAGAAACCCCCACCUGCAUCCCCCAGGCCCCACUAGCAGCCCCAGCCGACCCCCAAGAACCACCCUUACCACCAUCCCCAGAACCAGCCUUACCCGCCCAGGCCCCACCAGCCCCGGCCAACCCAGCACCAGCCCCGGCCAACCCAGCACCAGCCCCGGCCAACCCAGUACCAGCCCCUGCCAACCCAGCACCAGCUCCGGCCAACCCAGCACCAGCCCCGGCCAACCCAGCACCAGCCCCGGCCAACCCACUUCCACUCCUUGAGAGUCAGGAGGACACCACCACUUCCACAGCUAUAUUUCCAGACCUCCCCGCAGAAGCCCCGGCCUCCUUACCUCCACCUCCAGGCCCUGGGAAGGACUCCACCUCCACCCCCGUACCCUGUGAAUCCAGACCCAGGAGCUCAGACUCUGACGGAGCAUUCGAGACGCCAGAGUCGACCACCCCUGUCAAGUCCCCCACGGAGACAGACCCUCAUAUCCAGCUGCUGACCUCUGAAGACACCGGUCUUGGCUGUGACUCUGAGGCAGACGGUGAACCCGGGUCAGAGGCUAAAGGUCACCAUGGUAGCUCCCUGUCCAUAGUCUUUGACGAGGACAAGCCCAUAGCUGCUAGCGGAGCCUAUAACCUAGACCAGCUCAUAGCUGCUGCUGCUGCUGCUGCUGAGGCCCAGAGCCGAUCAACUCUAACCCGCUCUCUGAGCCUCCAGGCUGGGGAGCUAGAUGGCUCCGGCCCCCUAGACGGCGGAGGAUCCUCCAUCUCAAUCGGAGACUCCCGUCCCUUAGCUGAGGCCUUUAGUGUUGACAGUGGUACUGAGAGUGCUCCAGGGACUCUGCGCAGACCCUCCAAGAAGGGGCCUCUCCGCCCAGGCGGCUCCCUGAAAAAGAAGCCUCUCCCCAGGCAGAGCUCUAACCUAGAGAGCCCCCAACUGCCGUCCUCCGGAACCACACCGGAGCUGGAGAAGAGUGCCGAGCCCACCAGAGCAGCCAGACCCCUAUUGGUCUCUGAGGAUCUGGAAGCAGGAGGAGCCACAGUAGACUCCGCCUCGCUCACUGAAGAGACCAAUCACACUAGCCCAGAGACAGAUAAUCAACUAAUCCUGGCCCCUACUUCUAUUCUGACUCCGACCCCAGCUAUCUCUAUACCCAACCGGCAGGAGGACACCCCCAUCUCUGUGCCGGAGGCCCCCCCAGGCAGCGAAGGCUCUCCCCUGAGUGGGACCUACAAAUGGGACCCAGACAACUUUGAAGACAUCGC